rnacentral:rRNA from 1 species
GAGGAAUAUUGGUCAAUGGGUGCGAGCCUGAACCAGCCAAGUAGCGUGCAGGAUGACGGCCCUAUGGGUUGUAAACUGCUUUUGUAUGGGGAUAAAGUCAAUCACGUGUGAUUGUUUGCAGGUACCAUACGAAUAAGGACCGGCUAAUUCCGUGCCAGCAGCCGCGGUAAUACGGAAGGUCCGGGCGUUAUCCGGAUUUAUUGGGUUUAAAGGGAGCGUAGGCCGGAGAUUAAGUGUGUUGUGAAAUGUAGACGCUCAACGUCUGACUUGCAGCGCAUACUGGUUUCCUUGAGUACGCACAACGUUGGCGGAAUUCGUCGUGUAGCGGUGAAAUGCUUAGAUAUGACGAAGAACUCCGAUUGCGAAGGCAGCUGACGGGAGCGCAACUGACGCUUAAGCUCGAAGGUGCGGGUAUCGAACAGGAUUAGAUACCCUGGUAGUCCGCACAGUAAACGAUGGAUGCCCGCUGUUGGUACCUGGUAUCAGCGGCUAAGCGAAAGCAUUAAGCAUCCCACCUGGGGAGUACGCCGGCAACGGUG